rnacentral:rRNA from 1 species
GAAAGAUUCAUCGGAAGAGGAUGGGCAUGCGGCGCAUUAGCUAGGCGGCGGGGUAACGGCCCACCGUGGCGACGAUGCGUAGGGGUUCUGAGAGGAAGGUCCCCCACACUGGUACUGAGACACGGACCAGACUCCUACGGGAGGCAGCAGUGAGGAAUAUUGGUCAAUGGGAGAGAUCCUGAACCAGCCAAGCCGCGUGAGGGAAGACGGCCCUAUGGGUUGUAAACCUCUUUUGUCGGAGAACAAAACCCGGGACGUGUCCCGGACUGCGUGUAUCCGAAGAAAAAGCAUCGGCUAACUCCGUGCCAGCAGCCGCGGUAAUACGGAGGGUGCGAGCGUUAUCCGGAUUUAUUGGGUUUAAAGGGUGCGUAGGCGGUCCGUUAAGUCAGCGGUAAAAUUGCGGGGCUCAACCCCGUCGAGCCGUUGAAACUGGCAGACUUGAGUUGGCGAGAAGUACGCGGAAUGCGCGGUGUAGCGGUGAAAUGCAUAGAUAUCGCGCAGAACUCCGAUUGCGAAGGCAGCGUACCGGCGCCAGACUGACGCUGAGGCACGAAAGCGUGGGGAUCGAACAGGAUUAGAUACCCUGGUAGUCCACGCAGUAAACGAUGAAUGCUGGUUGUCCGGGUCGAAUGAGACCUGG